AUGAAAGAUCGAUGGCUGGAUGUUGUAGAGUAUUGGAUGGAAAUAACAAAUUUGUUGUUGCUAUUGGGAGUUUGCACCGGUGAUUUGCAAUUUGAGAAGGAGCGCAUAGUGGUAGGUGAUCCUUCGACCCAAAUGGUUUCAUGUAGUUGUGGAAUGUUUAAUAGGACAGGGAUAUUGCAUGGACAUGGUCUAAAAGUUCUUGAUUUGAUGAAUAUAAAGACAUUGCCAACACAUUAUAUCUUAAAGAGAUGGACUAGAGAAGCACACAAUGGAAGCAUACAUAGGCAAGGAAGGAACGUGAUAGAAAAUCCAAAAUUAAAAGCUCAACUCCGAUACAAGGACUUGUCUCAUAAGUUUCACAAUAUGACACAUAAAGCAACCAACUCUCAUGAAUGUUGUGUGCUACUAGAAAGUGCACUUGAUUCCGUUGCUCCACGCAUAGAUGAUUUACUCAGUGCAGCCCCUAGUGCUUUGAGUGAACCAUAUAAAGAUAAAGAAAAUGUUGAUCCAAAAGUGCAGCAAAUAGAUGAGUUGCUUAAUUCUGCACGGCUGAAGAAAAAAGAGGUCCACUCAUCAAGCUUAAGGAGAAAGAAAACUUGGCUUGAUAAGUUACUCAAGGGGAAGCGCAAAACAACUAAAGCUACCACACCAACAACAACAAAAAAGAGCAAAGCAACAAAAGAAAAAAGAUGGUGUGCAACAAAAGAAAAAAAAUAUGAUGUGGAGCCUCAAGUACAAGUGAAGAAGUAUGAAAACAGCAAAGGAGCAAAUUUGGAUCUUCAAGAGAGCAAUGGCAUCAUCAGUUUCACCCAGCUCUUGACGGCUCCACCUUGUGACCAUGAUUAUGUGUUCUAG
rnacentral:rRNA from 1 species